ACUAAUUAUACGUUCACAGAUUUCCCAGCGAUGUCGAAAGGGCCCAGAGGUGGUUGGCGUUCGUAGCGACGUGCGGUUACGAUCCGGCGGCCGUAAACUUGCGGAGCGCUUUCAUUUGUUCCAGGCACUUUGACCCUGUCAACGAUUACCGUACCAACCCAAUCCGCAGGUUACUCAUUAGCACUGCUGUGCCCACCGUGAUUGUCGCCAAUCCCGAAGCAGCUCGACCCUCUCAGUCGGACGUAAAACACUUCCAUUCAGUCUAUAUUUUAAUAAUUGCGUUCGCGGGAUCUCAUGGUUUUUAUGAUUGUUUCAAACGCGUAAUCCCUAACCGAAUCGAUUCGUGGGGGGAUGGUCAAUAUUGAUAUGUUCACGGGGUUUGGCCGGUCUCCAAUUUAUUUACAACCAUCAGAUUCCGUAUCCGCGUGUUGUCCAAUCGCAAUUGUUGAGAUGUGUAAUAAAUACAUUUAGGUUGAAAUCGUCGGCAUCGCCGUUGGUGACGACGAGGCGGCGGUUGGCGAUAUAAACGACAUGGUCGAAGUCGUCGAAGCCGAAGCGUCACCCGAAAUAGUCGACGUCGUUCCGUUCGAAGUCCAAGUGGUCGGGGCUCCCGUCGAACCGUCGCCCGAAUUCGUCGACGUCGGGUUGGACGACGUCAGUAAAAUAAUUAUUCAAUCGCUUUUUGAAAUACGACGGAAAUAAAGACUUUUAAUUAUUAUUUUUUUUUUCUAUCCCGUUGUGUAUAGCUUGCCGCCGUCGUCGGAGUUCAAAACGAACCAGCCCUCGACGUCGCUCCGUCCGAAGUGAGUUUAGUUAUUUCGAACAUUACAAUAAAUAGUAUAUUAAAUAUAGCAUUCGGCUUUAAUAAAACGGAAUCUGUUGUACAGCGUGACGUGCAUUAUAUUAUAAUACGGUGUAC